rnacentral:rRNA from 1 species
CUACGGGGUGCUGCAGUGAGGAAUAUUGCACAAUGGGAGGAACCCUGAUGCAGCAACGCCGCGUGGAGGAUGACGCAUUUCGGUGUGUAAACUCCUUUUAUAUGUCAAGAAAAUGACGGUAGCAUAUGAAUAAGCACCGGCUAACUCCGUGCCAGCAGCCGCGGUAACACGGAGGGUGCAAGCGUUACUCGGAAUCACUGGGCGUAAAGGACGCGUAGGCGGGUUGGAAAGUCAGGUGUGAAAUCCUACAGCUUAACUGUAGAACUGCACUUGAAACUUCUAAUCUAGAGUAUGGGAGGGGGAGAUGGAAUUAGUGGUGUAGGGGUAAAAUCCGUAGAUAUCACUAGGAAUACCUAAAGCGAAGGCGAUCUCCUGGAACAUUACUGACGCUAAGGCGUGAAAGCGUGGGGAGCAAACAGGAUUAGAUACCCUGGUAGUC